rnacentral:rRNA from 1 species
GACGAACGCUGGCGGCAGGCCUAACACAUGCAAGUCGAACGAGUGGCGGACGGGUGAGUAAUGUGUGGGAAACUGCCUGAUGGGGGGGGAUAACUAGUGGAAACGGUAGCAUAUACCGCAUACCAUCAGAUGUGCCCAGGUGGGAUUAGCUUGGUGGUGGGGUAACGGCUCACCAAGGCGACGAUCCCUCGCUGGUCUGAGAGGAUGACCAGCCACACUGGAACUGAGACACGGUCCAGACUCCUACGGGAGGCAGCAGUGGGGAAGAGUGCACAAUGGGCGAAAGCCUGAUGCAGCCAUGCCGCGUGUAUGAAGAAGGCCUUCGGGUUGUAAAGUACUUUCAGCGGGGAGGCGUUACCCGCAGAAGAAGCACCGGCUAACUCCGUGCCAGCAGCCGCGGUAAUUC